CUGGAUUCCUUGUGAAGUUGAAGUUCCACCAUCUGUCACAAGAGGGAACUGUAGCACUGGCCCAGGAGCUGCUGCUCUUCAUCUUGCCUUUUCUAACUGAAAAAAGCACUUGUUUUGAAGUAUCUCAUCAUACAUACAGAAACACAAGAACCUGGAAACAGAGAGUACAAACUGACUGAGGCACAGGAGAUGGAAGAGAGAGGACCUGGGAAAUUAAGAACAAGCUGGAUCCCUGUCAUGCUAUAAAUAGAUGGAUGCACAUUAAUAUUACAGAAAGAAACACACAAACUUACCCUACAGUGUUUUAUAGCUGUUACGAGACCAUGAAGCAACUUCUGCCCUUGUCUCAUUGCCCCUUUUAGAAGAAAUGACCCCUCUUUAUUCAGCUUUCUUUAAAAUAGACAUGCCGCUAGGGGAAUAGGAAGAGGUAACCUUGAAUACCUUGAACUCCUGCCUUCUAAACAAUUGAAUGCAUAUAGCCAAAAACUGGCAUCAGUGACUAAGGCAGCUGCAGCACAUUCCAAAUAUUGCUCUAUUUAAAGCAUCCUAAAGCUCACAAGAACAACUGCAGAGACAAACCCUAAAACCUGUCAAUAAAUCCAGCAGAGAGAAGAAUGGCAGAACCAGCAGAAAUCCCGCUUUCACGUCUUGUUGUACCUAUACUCCUUGCAGUUGGCUGGAUAGUGGGUUGUGCAUUAAUGGUUUACAUUGUCUUCUCUUGAUAGAAGAAAGAAGAAUUUACAAUGAUGUUGAUUAAAAGAACCUGGACAUUAAAUUCCAGAACUUGGAACUGACAUUUCUAACCACUAAAAUAUGUAUAA